CCUUGCUACAGUCUCUUUUUCCUUCUCUGACACUUGCCUCUGUACUGCUUGGAAAUUAUUUAAGGCUGCGGAGAAAUCAUUCAUUAAACGUUCUUUCUGAAGCCUCUGUUGACGCUGUUCAGAAGCAGACAGAGGAAGUGGUAGAGACCCCAGUUCUUUGAGAUACUCAUUGGUCUCUUUGGCCAAGCAGUUUGCAGAAUGCUGUAGCUGUUGUAAGUUUUCCUGCAGCUUGCUGGAGUCCUGCUUGGUUCCCAGCUGGCUCAUCAAAUUCUUUAUCUGAGCAGUAUACUGCGCGAUGCGCUGCACGUUGGCGCUGCAUGUCUGAAUGAUGCCACCGAAGUCCCGCGGCGGGGCCGUCGGCCCGGGCCGGUAAGGAUCCAGCGGCCCGUACGACAUGACCGGGCGAGCGACGGUUCCUCCGAGCCCAGCUGCCAGCGCUCCGCCGCCCUCCGCGCAUGCG
rnacentral:lncRNA from 1 species